CGAGUGGCGGACGGGUGAGUAAUGUCUGGGGAUCUGCCCGAUAGAGGGGGAUAACCACUGGAAACGGUGGCUAAUACCGCAUAACGUCGCAAGACCAAAGAGGGGGACCUUCGGGCCUCUCACUAUCGGAUGAACCCAGAUGGGAUUAGCUAGUAGGCGGGGUAACGGCCCACCUAGGCGACGAUCCCUAGCUGGUCUGAGAGGAUGACCAGCCACACUGGAACUGAGACACGGUCCACACUCCUACGGGAGGCAGCAGUGGGGAAUAUUGCACAGUGGGCGCAAGCCUGAUGCAGCCGUGCCGCGUGUAUGAAGAAGGCCUUCGGGUUGUAAAGUACUUUCAGCGGGGAGGAAGGCGAUGUGGUUAAUAACCGCAUUGAUUGACGUUACCCGCAGAAGAAGCACCGGCUAACUCCGUGCCAGCAGCCGCGGUAAUACAGAGGGUGCAAGCGUUAAUCGGAAUUACUGGGCGUAAAGCGCACGCACGCGGUCUGUUAAGUCAGAUGUGAAAUCCCCGGGCUUAACCUGGGAACUGCAUUUGAAACUGGCACGCUUGAGUCUCGUAGAGGGGGGUAGAAUUCCAGGUGUAGCGGUGAAAUGCGUAGAGAUCUGGAGGAAUACCGGUGGCGAAGGCGGCCCCCUGGACGAAGACUGACGCUCAGGUGCGAAAGCGUGGGGAGCAAACAGGAUUAGAUACCCUGGUAGUCCACGCCGUAAACGAUGUCGACUUGGAGGUUGUUCCCUUGAGGAGUGGCUUCCGGAGCUAACGCGUUAAGUCGACCGCCUGGGGAGUACGGCCGCAAGGUUAAAACUCAAAUGAAUUGACGGGGGCCCGCACAAGCGGUGGAGCAUGUGGUUUAAUUCGAUGCAACGCGAAGAACCUUACCUACU
rnacentral:rRNA from 1 species